rnacentral:rRNA from 1 species
UACGUAGGGUGCGAGCGUUAAUCGGAAUUACUGGGCGUAAAGUGUGCGUAGGUGGCCGCGCAAGUCGAGUGUGAAAUCCCCGAGCUUAACUUGGGAAUUGCGCUCGAAACUACGUGGCUCGAGUGUGGCAGAGGAAGGUGGAAUUCCACGUGUAGCGGUGAAAUGCGUAGAGAUGUGGAGGAACACCGAUGGCGAAGGCAGCCUUCUGGGCCAACACUGACGCUCAUGCACGAAAGCGUGGGGAGCAAACAGG